ensembl:miRNA mirlet7d-2 microRNA let7d-2
UGAGGUAGUUGGUUGUAUGGUUUUGCAUCAUAAUCAGCCUGGAGUUAACUGUACAACCUUCUAGCUUUCC